rnacentral:rRNA from 1 species
UUGAACGCUGGCGGCAGGCCUAACACAUGCAAGUCGAGCGGUAGCACAGAGAGCUUGCUCUCGGGUGACGAGCGGCGGACGGGUGAGUAAUGUCUGGGAAACUGCCUGAUGGAGGGGGAUAACUACUGGAAACGGUAGCUAAUACCGCAUAACGUCGCAAGACCAAAGUGGGGGACCUUCGGGCCUCAUGCCAUCAGAUGUGCCCAGAUGGGAUUAGCUAGUAGGUGGGGUAACGGCUCACCUAGGCGACGAUCCCUAGCUGGUCUGAGAGGAUGACCAGCCACACUGGAACUGAGACACGGUCCAGACUCCUACGGGAGGCAGCAGUGGGGAAUAUUGCACAAUGGGCGCAAGCCUGAUGCAGCCAUGCCGCGUGUGUGAAGAAGGCCUUCGGGUUGUAAAGCACUUUCAGCGGGGAGGAAGGCGAUAAGGUUAAUAACCUUGUCGAUUGACGUUACCCGCAGAAGAAGCACCGGCUAACUCCGUGCCAGCAGCCGCGGUAAUACGGAGGGUGCAAGCGUUAAUCGGAAUUACUGGGCGUAAAGCGCACGCAGGCGGUCUGUCAAGUCGGAUGUGAAAUCCCCGGGCUCAACCUGGGAACUGCAUUCGAAACUGGCAGGCUAGAGUCUUGUAGAGGGGGGUAGAAUUCCAGGUGUAGCGGUGAAAUGCGUAGAGAUCUGGAGGAAUACCGGUGGCGAAGGCGGCCCCCUGGACAAAGACUGACGCUCAGGUGCGAAAGCGUGGGGAGCAAACAGGAUUAGAUACCCUGGUAGUCCACGCCGUAAACGAUGUCGAUUUGGAGGUUGUGCCCUUGAGGCGUGGCUUCCGGAGCUAACGCGUUAAAUCGACCGCCUGGGGAGUACGGCCGCAAGGUUAAAACUCAAAUGAAUUGACGGGGGCCCGCACAAGCGGUGGAGCAUGUGGUUUAAUUCGAUGCAACGCGAAGAACCUUACCUGGUCUUGACAUCCACAGAACUUUCCAGAGAUGGAUUGGUGCCUUCGGGAACUGUGAGACAGGUGCUGCAUGGCUGUCGUCAGCUCGUGUUGUGAAAUGUUGGGUUAAGUCCCGCAACGAGCGCAACCCUUAUCCUUUGUUGCCAGCGGUUAGGCCGGGAACUCAAAGGAGACUGCCAGUGAUAAACUGGAGGAAGGUGGGGAUGACGUCAAGUCAUCAUGGCCCUUACGACCAGGGCUACACACGUGCUACAAUGGCAUAUACAAAGAGAAGCGACCUCGCGAGAGCAAGCGGACCUCAUAAAGUAUGUCGUAGUCCGGAUUGGAGUCUGCAACUCGACUCCAUGAAGUCGGAAUCGCUAGUAAUCGUAGAUCAGAAUGCUACGGUGAAUACGUUCCCGGGCCUUGUACACACCGCCCGUCAUACCAUGGGAGUGGGUUUCAAAAGAAGUAGGUAGCUUAACCUUCGGGAGGGCGCUUACCACUUUGUGAUUCAUGACUGGGGUG